GAUGAACGCUGGCGGCGUGCCUAAUACAUGCAAGUCGAGCGAAUGGAUUAAGAGCUUGCUCUUAUGAAGUUAGCGGCGGACGGGUGAGUAACACGUGGGUAACCUGCCCAUAAGACUGGGAUAACUCCGGGAAACCGGGGCUAAUACCGGAUAACAUUUUGAACCGCAUGGUUCGAAAUUGAAAGGCGGCUUCGGCUGUCACUUAUGGAUGGACCCGCGUCGCAUUAGCUAGUUGGUGAGGUAACGGCUCACCAAGGCAACGAUGCGUAGCCGACGUGAGGGGGUGAUCGGCCACACUGGGACUGAGACACGACCCAGACUCCUACGGGAGGCAGAAGUAGGGAAUCUUCCGCAAUGGACGAAAGUCUGACGGAGCAACGCCGCGUGAGUGAUGAAGGCUUUCGGGUCGUAAAACUCUGUUGUUAGGGAAGAACAAGUGCUAGUUGAAUAAGCUGGCACCUUGACGGUACCUAACCAGAAAGCCACGGCUAACUACGUGCCAGCCGCCGCAGUAA
rnacentral:rRNA from 1 species